ACCUUCUUCGGAGGGUAUGCUUAAAGAGGGGCUUGCGCCACAUUAGUUAGUUGGUGAGGUAAAGGCUUACCAAGAUUAUGAUGUGUAGCUGGACUGAGAGGUUGAACAGCCACAUUGGGACUGAGACACGGCCCAAACUCCUACGGGAGGCAGCAGUAGGGAAUUUUCGGCAAUGGAGGAAACUCUGACCGAGCGACGCCGCGUGAACGAUGAAGUAUUUCGGUAUGUAAAGUUCUUUUAUUGAAGAAGAAAAAAUAGUGGAAAAACUAUCUUGACGUUAUUCAAUGAAUAAGCCCCGGCUAACUAUGUGCCAGCAGCCGCGGUAAGACAUAGGGGGCGAGCGUUAUCCGGAAUUAUUGGGCGUAAAGGGUGCGUAGGCGGUUAGAUAAGUCUAUAAUUUAAUUUCAGUGCUUAACGCUGUCUUGUUAUAGAAACUGUCUUGACUAGAGUGAGAUAGAGGCAAGCGGAAUUCCAUGUGUAGCGGUAAAAUGUGUAAAUAUAUGGAGGAACACCAGAAGCGUAGGCGGCUUGCUGGGUCUUUACUGACGCUGAGGCACGAAAGCGUGGGGAGCAAACAGGAUUAGAUACCCUGGUAGUCCACGCUGUAAACGAUGAGUACUAAGUGUCGGGGUAACUCGGUACUGAAGUUAACACAUUAAGUACUCCGCCUGAGUAGUACGUACGCAAGUAUGAAACUUAAAGGAAUUGACGGGACUCCGCACNAGCGGUGGAUCAUGUUGUUUAAUUCGAAGAUACACGAAAAACCUUACCAGGUCUUGACAUACUCUGCAAAGCUAUAGAAAUAUAGUGGAGGUUAUCAGGGAUACAGGUGGUGCAUGGUUGUCGUCAGUUCGUGUCGUGAGAUGUUAGGUUAAGUCCUAAAACGAACGCAACCCCUGUCGCUAGUUGCCAGCACGUAAUGGUGGGGACUUUAGCGAGACUGCCAAUUAAACAUUGGAGGAAGGUGGGGAUAACGUCAAAUCAUCAUGCCCCUUAUGAUCUGGGCUACAAACGUGAUACAAUGGCUAUUACAAAGAGUAGCUGAAACGCGAGUUUUUAGCCAAUCUCAAAAAGGUAGUCUCAGUACGGAUUGAAGUCUGCAACUCGACUUCAUGAAGCUGGAAUCGCUAGUAA
rnacentral:rRNA from 1 species